AAAGACGUAGUAUAAAAAAUACAUUUCACUUACACUGAAAAUAUAUUUAAGGAAUAAAUCGUCUUUA
rnacentral:tRNA from 1 species